UACGAAGGGUGCUAGCGUUGUUCGGAAUCACUGGGCGUAAAGGGCGUGUAGGCGGCUUUUUAAGUCGGGGGUGAAAGCCUGUGGCUCAACCACAGAAUUGCCUUCGAUACUGUAGAGCUUGAGACCGGAAGAGGUAAGUGGAACUGCGAGUGUAGAGGUGAAAUUCGUAGAUAUUCGCAAGAACACCAGUGGCGAAGGCGGCUUACUGGUCCGGUUCUGACGCUGAGGCGCGAAAGCGUGGGGAGCAAACAGG
rnacentral:rRNA from 1 species